CGCCAUCGGAGAGAGCCCAUCUACAUCCAUCCGGAGGCCGGGCCCACCUGGAAGAGGUCAAAUGCCCAACGCUCUAUCUUCCUCUCUUCCGUUCCUCACUGUCUCUGUUCCCAGCAGCAAAACCCUAGCUCCGCCGCCGCCGCCACCGGGCUCGGAGCAAAUGCGACAUGCCGCGGCCGCUGCAGCUGCCGGAUGAGCUCGUGGAGGAGCAUUGAAAGGCACUUGCACAGGUGAGGGACCAAGUGCGGGUCACUCAAGCGCAUGAUAAACUUAAGGUGCAUCAGUGAAAUCUAUGGUUGGGCAGCACUUUGUGCAUCAAUGAGAUUGGUGUUAUCCUU